rnacentral:rRNA from 1 species
AGAGUUUGAUCCUGGCUCAGGAUGAACGCUAGCGGCAGGCUUAACACAUGCAAGUCGAGGGGUAUAGUUCUUCGGAAUUAGAGACCGGCGCACGGGUGCGUAACGCGUAUGCAAUCUACCUUUCACAGAGGGAUAGCCCAGAGAAAUUUGGAUUAAUACCUCAUAGUAUAUAUGAAUGGCAUCAUUUAUAUAUUAAAGUCACAACGGUGAAAGAUGAGCAUGCGUCCCAUUAGCUAGUUGGUAAGGUAACGGCUUACCAAGGCAACGAUGGGUAGGGGUCCUGAGAGGGAGAUCCCCCACACUGGUACUGAGACACGGACCAGACUCCUACGGGAGGCAGCAGUGAGGAAUAUUGGACAAUGGGCGCAAGCCUGAUCCAGCCAUGCCGCGUGCAGGAUGACGGUCCUAUGGAUUGUAAACUGCUUUUAUACGAGAAGAAACACUCCGACGUGUCGGAGCUUGACGGUAUCGUAAGAAUAAGGAUCGGCUAACUCCGUGCCAGCAGCCGCGGUAAUACGGAGGAUCCAAGCGUUAUCCGGAAUCAUUGGGUUUAAAGGGUCCGUAGGCGGUCAGGUAAGUCAGUGGUGAAAGCCCAUCGCUCAACGGUGGAACGGCCAUUGAUACUGUCUGACUUGAAUUAUUAGGAAGUAACUAGAAUAUGUAGUGUAGCGGUGAAAUGCUUAGAGAUUACAUGGAAUACCAAUUGCGAAGGCAGGUUACUACUAAUGGAUUGACGCUGAUGGACGAAAGCGUGGGUAGCGAACAGGAUUAGAUACCCUGGUAGUCCACGCCGUAAACGAUGGAUACUAGCUGUUGGGAGCAAUCUCAGUGGCUAAGCGAAAGUGAUAAGUAUCCCACCUGGGGAGUACGUUCGCAAGAAUGAAACUCAAAGGAAUUGACGGGGGCCCGCACAAGCGGUGGAGCAUGUGG